UACGGAGGGCGCGAGCGUUGUUCGGAAUCACUGGGCGUAAAGCGCGUGUAGGCGGGCGGGCAAGUCGGAUGUGAAAUCCCGAGGCUCAACCUCGGAACUGCAUUCGAAACUGCCUGGCUAGAGUCCCGGAGAGGAUGGCGGAAUUCCCGGUGUAGGGGUGAAAUCCGUAGAUAUCGGGAGGAACACCAGUGGCGAAGGCGGCCAUCUGGACGGUGACUGACGCUGAGACGCGAAAGCGUGGGGAGCAAACAGG
rnacentral:rRNA from 1 species